rnacentral:piRNA from 1 species
UGGCCUCCAUAGACAGUGUUUCCC